UAAAUGUCUUUAAUCCUACAGCUUCUUUUUCAAUGCCCACCACCCCUCGCACACAGCUUUGCCCUCUUUCAUCACAUUCAAGCUGAUGCGAGUUUACAAGGCUAUAAAGGGAAUGCCUGCAGACCAUUUUCGAGCCCUCAACACCACCCAUUGCCCUCAUUAUACCCAAACUCUCAUCUCUUCUAUGUAAAAACCUGGACAUUGUCCCACUAAGCUUUGGCUUCUCUCCCUCCCGGCUUGCAAAUAGCGAAAGUUGGAGCAGGCAUUUUAGGAAAACAGUCACUCUCCACUCUCCCUGCAUAAGCUAGAAACUAAUCUCUUUACAAAACACUCAACGUUUUUAUGUAUUUCUUCCACUACUGUGCCAAACUAAUUGAGGACCACUGCAGUGGCUCUCCACAGCUCUUUUAAUUAUUCUGCGAUUUUUCAGUCGUUCCUCAUUUUCCAUUUAGCCCUCAAGCAUCCUUAGGAAAACUGCCACAUUUGUCUUUUUUAUAUGCAUUUGUAGCACAUUUCUGCAGCACAACUGUAAUGUAUUGCGAGUGGGAUCCAUCUGGGAUGUGCUCUGGAGCUGGACCUUGAGGCUAACAGCCACCUGGAGCCCAGAGAAUACACCGACUGUGAGAAAGGGAUGGAGAUGAAGACAAUACAGGCCUAUGAAAAAAAAAAAAAAAAAAAGGCAUCGAUUGUCAUAGGGUAUGUGGGAGUAGAUAACAAGAUGGAUGAGCUCCCUGCAUUGGCCAGGACGUAGGCUAGUGGGACUCUAAUGUUCACUGAGAUGUGGCUUAAAGCCUGAGCUCCUGCCUCACACUCAACUGGGAGCUUUCCAUUCGAGCGAACAGAGGGGGGAAAUAAGAUGAGAAGAAGAAGAAGACGAAAGGGCCUUGCCAUUUUUAUUCUUUCUUGACAGCAUAAUUCUGGGUGUGUUACAUAUUUCUCAAGAGCAGAUACUGUCUUUACAGGUUGAGCCGUAUUUCCUGCUUUUAUCAGCCGAGCCGUUGCUGUUACAUCACCCACUGAGCUCAUGUUGGAUCAAGACACAUCCUUAUCCAUCAGCAUCCAGGUUCAAAGCUUGACAGUUUGCUUACCAACAACUCAGUUAAAGACAUCCAAUACCAGAGCAACUACAAACCAAGCCCUCCUUGUUGACAGUACCUGAUUUAAUCUGUUGAUGGAUUGCCAGGUUCCCAACUGGUAAAACCCAACGAGGGAAGCUUAAAACCAAAUGCUGGACACCGUCAUCCUCAUGAAAGAGCAUUGUAGGCUAAUUCCUGCUCCUGGGACAUCAGCCCCAUCCUGACUUAAGCUUAUCAGAUAGCAAAUCCAUCCAUUCUGUUAUCAGCGUGUCCAUCUGAGACAUCUUACCAGUGUAAGAACAGGUGGUAUCACGUCAUCCACUCAUGGAAGGAAACCAUUGGCAGUGACUUGCCCUCCCUCAAGGACCUGUAGAGCCCUAUGGAUUAGGAGGCAAAAGACCACGGCCCUCCAUCUGGGAAGGGCUUGUAAUACUGUCAACACAAAGACCACCAGAUGCGUGAACAGCUUUGUCUUCUCCCUGAUGAACACAGAUCGGCCCAUUUCCAACGGUCUAAUAUUGGUUUGUUUAGUUGACUGUGGACACCAAUCACAUUCUGCCAAUGAAUAAUUUUGAAUUACUUUAACUUUUUAUUUUGGUGCCAUCAAAUCAAUCCCAUUGUGUGGAAAAUGUAAAUAAAAUACCCAACAAUUCAACUAAAUAUCAGUAAAAUAUGCAUGAGCUAGGAGCUCUUAUUAAGACAUGGAAAACUUGUCCCUUGACAUUUACACAAACCAAUUAAACCCAGCUUCAAAUGUGAUAUUUAUACAAAGAUAGUAUAUCAUGUUAUACUAAGGAUUAAGGCUCCUUGCUGCACAGAUAAACUAAACCUCAAAAGAAUAAUGAUGGACAGAAAUGAAAGCCAUUUCCAAAACUAGGGAUUUAGCUGAUCAUCUCUUGGAUUUUAUACAUUAAGCUUCUUCCAAAUAGCUGUACUAUACUGAGUAUCAAACAUAUACGCAUUGAAUUGCACCAUGGACUUUAUCGGACAUAGACAUGGACUUUUUUCAACAGUGAAGUUAAAGCAUUCAAACCAGAUUUCUUUGUAAUUACUAGCAUGGUGGUGAGUCCACUGAUUACUAAAAUAAGUCUGAGUGUUUGAAACCAGAUGGGAAAAUUAGCCUUUUUCUUGGUUAUUAUUAACUCGGUAAAGCCUGAGAUAGAUGGCUUUAUCCAAUUCUUUUAAACAUUUUUUGAAUUGUACAAGUUUUGUGGCCUGUAUUGAAGUCAUUCUGUAGUUGUCAUUAAAAUACAUUCUCAGUGUUUCAUCAUUUCGAAUGGCAGGCAAUAAAUCUGAAGGGGCAAGACAACCAUUUUAAAGCCUUUGGUAUAAAUCAGUGAUAUCUGUUCAGAGAGAUUUUGGAAGAAGCCCUUAUUUUUAUUGCAUCACCCAUAUGAAGGAUUGUGAAAUAGCAUUGGAGACACCGCUCUUCAGUGUAAUGAAAUGGACUGCCCUGUGCAGUCACAGUCAUUACUGCAGGUUAGUAAUAAAUGGCGCUGACCUUUUGCUUUACUAAAUGACUUGGCCAAAACAAUGAAAGAUAAAAACAACAGGGGCUUUGUGAGGAAUUCAAACGAUAUCCUUUGGUUAUUUUCUCAUUUUUUCCGUUCAGCAUGCCGCCUGUAAAUCCUGCAAACAGUAUAAAGCCUUCUCCAUAACUGCUACUUAUUUUCAUUCCGCUCACAAUCACUGUCCACAUUGACAAUAUGCUGUUCAGUGAGUAAUGACAUGCAUUGGCUCAACAUCAAUUUUGAGCUCUUUGGUAUUUUUCUCUGUUCACCCUGGGCCCUGCAAGAGACAAGCAACAGUGGAACCUAUUAACAUGAAAAUGAUUAAUGUGGCCAGAUGAACCCGCUUCUGUAAAUCAUUCUUAAAAAGUUGAUGCAAAGGACGCUGGGUAAUUACAUGAUCACAAAUGACCCUGACAAAAUAGUGAUGGGAACGCAUUGGAGAUGGUAUUUAAUGUUGAUUUAUGACGGUGUGUUACGUAUGCUCAUCCUGCUCCUGAAUUAUGAGUGAAAUUUUAGGAUUUGGGGACCAUGUUUACUAGAAAGCAGUACAAUCUUUCAGACAAGGUGAUUUCACAGCCAGAUAAAGUAGUAUAAUGGGAUGAAAAGUGAAAAGUGUAGUUGGGAGGGCAGUUUUUGGCCAUGAAUGAGAUCUUUCCUAUCCUUGAAAAUGCUAGAGAACUACCUAGAUGGCCAUAUUUAGGAGCUACUGACCAUGCUGACAUAUUGGAUGAAUUUUGAGUGAGAACAUGUUGGGCCAACAAUAUCAUUAAUCAAAUGCUAUCAACUGUUCCUGGCUUAGGGGCAAAAGGCCUGUGUUUGACUGCCAGGCAGUGUUUCACUCCUUCUGUUUUGGGUGGAUUCACACAAGAGACCUUGAGAUUCAAUUUCCCAUUUGUAUCCAGAGGCUGUCUCAAAUCAUUGGCUGGAGCCUCUCAAGGACACGGCCCACAGAGGUGUGUUUCUUUGUAAAUCCUGAAGGCUAACCUGACCCCAGCUCCCACUUAAUCUGACACUGUCUGGUCUGAUAGACUGAAACUAAUGAUGCAUUUCAGAGGGCCCCUCAUCUACUCAUCAUGUUAAUUAUUUAAAAGUUAAUGAGCAAAUAGCCAAAGGUGUAAAGGUGCACAGUGAAACUAGGGUAUUGCAACUUUUAUAGUAUGGGUUUUACAGUGUAAAAUUUCACUUUGACACAUAAUGAACUCUUCAAUAUGUGAAAAUCUUCUGGUACUUGCAAUUCCUUGUGAUCAACAUUUCCACACAACCAAAGAGGACAAAGGUUUGCAGUUCUUUGUUUCUAUUAUUUACACCUGGUCUGGUUGAAGUGUUAUAAAACCAGUGAUCAAUGACCAACUGGUAAAUAAAACACAUGCUCAUGAUAGUUCUUAGCUCUACAAGUUGAGAGCAACUGUCUGACUCCAUCAUUAAUUAGCUGGCCAGUACUCAAUGGAUUAUUGGUUACUCAGGGCUGCAAAAUAUUCACAGCCAUGUCCUCAGACUUUGGAAAAAAAGGAGGCUACAUUGCUUUAAACAUUUAAAUUGGGGCAGUUGUAUUUGGUCUAGAAAUACACACGGUUGAGGAUCCAGCCUCUGAAUUAAGACACGAGUAACUUGUGUCCUUAACUACAUAGUCUUUAGAAUUGCUAUGUCAAUGUGUUUCAAGAAAAAAAAACCUGUGGCGAGAGGACCCAUCCCUGGGGGACACCAUUGACAACUGUUGCGGCUGACGUUAUGGAUACAUACAUCUGCUUCCCCAAUGGACAUAAAUGUGUAUGAAUUCAAACUUACAUGUGAAUUUAUUCUGUUUUUUUCCUGGAUUUUGCACCCACACGUACACAGCAACUAACAAUUUGACCAAGAGUGUUAGAAAGAUAGACUUAUUGACUGAUUCAAAGAUUGGCAGACGGAUGUAGCAACAGAAAAACUCCAAGAAAUGGAGACAGAAAAAUCAAAGUGAUUUACUGACAGAAAACCAGACAAACUGAAAUGAUUGACAGGCCGUGAACAGACAACCAGACUUCUGCUUAAGGUUUUUAAUAGAAUCCAACUGAUAGGAUACAGGUUUUAACGGAUAUGUGAGGAUGCAUGGAGGCUCUGAUAACCGACCGGUCGGCUUCAACUUCAUCAGCGCCUCUGAAGUUGUAAGGAAAAGGGAAUAAAGGGAGUGUUGUGCCUCUUCUCAUUCAAGUCUGGAUUGAGCUGUUUAUCAGAGGAAAGUAGUGAAUCUCUUGGCAGAGUGACAGACGAGAGAGUCAGGGUAAAAAAAAAAAUAAAAAAAAAGAA